rnacentral:rRNA from 1 species
GCGAUAUACAGUAAGCGGCCAAGCGAAAGCAUUAAGUAUUCCACCUGGGGAGUACGCCGGCAACGGUGAAACUCAAAGGAAUUGACGGGGGCCCGCACAAGCGGAGGAACAUGUGGUUUAAUUCGAUGAUACGCGAGGAACCUUACCCGGGCUUGAAUUGCAGAGGAAUAUAGUUGAAAGAUUAUAGCCGCAAGGCCUCUGUGAAGGUGCUGCAUGGUUGUCGUCAGCUCGUGCCGUGAGGUGUCGGCUUAAGUGCCAUAACGAGCGCAACCCUUAUCAUUAGUUACUAACAGGUCAUGCUGAGGACUCUAGUGAGACUGCCGUCGUAAGAUGUGAGGAAGGUGGGGAUGACGUCAAAUCAGCACGGCCCUUACGUCCGGGGCUACACACGUGUUACAAUGGGGGGUACAGAGGGCAGCUACCGGGCGACCGGAUGCCAAUCCCAAAAACCUCUCUCAGUUCGGAUCGAAGUCUGCAACCCGGGUUCGUGAAGCUGGA